AGAGUUUGAUCAUGGCUCAGGACGAACGCUGGCGGCGUGGAUUAGGCAUGCAAGUCGCGCGACGGUAUUCCUUCGGGGAUAUACGGAGCGGCGAACGGGUGAGUAACACGUGAGGAACCUGUCCCUACUUUCCGGAUAAUUGGCCGAAAGGUCUUGUAAUACGGGGGAGGGUCUCUGGUGGGCAUCCAUUGGAGAAGGAAGGCGCAAGCACUUGUGUUUGUGCCGAGCAGGGAGGGCCUCGCGGCCUAUCAGCUUGUUGGUGGGGUAAAGGCCUACCAAGGCGACGACGGGUAGCUGGUCUGAGAGGAUGGUCAGCCACAUUGGAACUGAGACACUGUCCAGACUCCUACGGGAGGCUGCAGUCGAGAAUCUUGGUCAAUGCACGAAAGUGUGAACCAGCGACGCCGCGUGAAGGAUGAAGGACCUCUGGUUCGUAAACUUCUUUUAGGGGGGAAGAAUGGGCUUUAUGCCUUUGACGGUACCCCCUGAAUAAGCCACGGCUAACUACGUGCCAGCAGCCGCGGUAAUACGUAGGUGGCAAGCGUUGUCCGGAUUUACUGGGCGUAAAGCGUAUGCAGGCGGAUACUUAAGUAGGAAGUGAAAGGUGGGAGCUCAACUCCCACAUUGCUCCCUAUACUGGGUGUCUUGAGUGGCGGAGAGGGAGAUGGAACGACACGUGUAGCGGUGAAAUGCGUUGAUAUGUGUCGGAACACCAAUGGCGAAAGCAAUCUCCUGGACGCAAACUGACGCUGAGAUACGAAAGCCAAGGUAGCAAACAGGAUUAGAUACCCUAGUAGUCC
rnacentral:rRNA from 1 species